CAGUCGCCGCGGGAAUACAGAGGGUGCAAGCGUUAAUCGGAAUUACUGGGCGUAAAGCGCGCGUAGGUGGUUCGCCAAGUUGGAUGUGAAAUCCCCGGGCUCAACCUGGGAACUGCAUCCAAAACUGGCGAGCUAGAGUAUGGUAGAGGGUGGUGGAAUUUCCUGUGUAGCGGUGAAAUGCGUAGAUAUAGGAAGGAACAUCAGUGGCGAAGGCGACCACCUGGACUGAUACUGACACUGAGGUGCGAAAGCGUGGGGAGCAAACAGGAUUAGAUACCCGAGUAGUCCCUGUCUCUUAUAC
rnacentral:rRNA from 1 species